rnacentral:rRNA from 1 species
AUUGAACGCUGGCGGCAGGCCUAACACAUGCAAGUCGAACGCGUGGCGGACGGGUGAGUACUGUCUGGGAAACUGCCCGAUGGAGGGGGAUAAAUACUGGAAACGGUAGCUAAUACCGCAUACCAUUGGAUGUGCCCAUAUGGGAUUAGCUAGUCGGUGGGGUAACGGCUCACCUAGGCGACGAUCCCUAGCUGGUCUGAGAGGAUGACCAGCCACACUGGAACUGGAACACGGUCCAGAAUCCUACGGGAGGCAGCAGUGGAGAAUAUUGCAAGAUGGGCGAAAGCCUGAAGCAGCCAUGCCGAGUGUAUGAAGAAGGCCUUGGUGUUGUAAAGUACUUUCAGCGAGGAGGCGUUACGCGCAGAAGAAGCACCGGCUAACUCCGUGCCAGCAGCCGCGGUAAUUA